UGGCACAGGGCUUCACCUCACUAUGGCAGCAGCACGGCACAGCACGCUCGACUUCAUGCUCGGCGCCAAAGCUGACGGUGAGACCAUUCUGAAAGGCCUCCAGUCCAUCUUCCAGGAGCAGGGCAUGGCAGAGUCGGUGCACACCUGGCAGGAACAUGGCUACUUAGCAACCCAAACAAAAAUGGCAGCUUUGCCAAUUUGAGAAUUUACCCACAUGGAUUGGUGUUGCUGGACAUUCAAAGUUACGACAGUGAUGCACAGGGGAAAGAAGAAAUUGACAGUCUUUUGAACAAAGUAGAAGAAAGAAUGAAAGAAUUGAGUCAAGACAGUACUGGGCGGGUGAAGCGAUUACCAUCCAUAGUUUGAGGAGGGGCCAUCGACAGAUACUGGCCCACUGCUGAUGGGCACCUGGUUGAGUAUGACAUAGAUGAAGUGGUGUAUGAUGAAGAUUCACCUUAUCAGAACAUUAAAAUUCUGCACUCGAAGCAAUUUGGAAAUAUUCUUAUCCUUAGUGGGGAUGUUAAUUUGGCGGAGAGUGAUUUGGCAUAUACCCGGGCCAUCAUGGGCAGUGGCAAAGAUGAUUACACUGGCAAGGAUGUACUGAUUCUUGGAGGCGGAGACGGGAAUAUUAUGUGAAAUAGUCAAACUGAAACCAAAGAUGGUCACUAUGGUAGAGAUUGACCAAAUGGUGAUUGAUGGAUGUAAAAAAUACAUGCAAAAAACGUGGUGACGUCUUAGACAAUCUUAAUGGAGACUGCCAUCAGGUUCUCAUAGAAGACUGUAUUCCAGUACUGAAGAGGUACGCCAAAGAAGGGAGAGAGUUUAAUUAUGUGAUUAAUGAUUUGACAGCUGUUCCAAUCUCCAUGUCUCCGGAAGAAGAUUCCACAUGGGAGUUUCUCAGACUGAUUCUUGAUCUCUCAAUGAAAGUAUUGAAACAGGAUGGGAAAUAUUUUACACAGGGGAACUGUGUCAAUUCGACAGAAGCCCUGUCGCUCUAUGAAGAACAGCUUGGGUGCCUGUAUUGUCCUGUGGAAUUUUCGAAGGAGAUCAUCUGUGUCCCUUCAUACUUGGAAUUGUGGGUAUUUUACACUGUUUGGAAGAAAGUGAAACCAUGAAGAUAAAUGUCCCCUAAUCAUGUGUGCUGCAAAUAGCCUUCCUGACCUCCAU